UGAGAACUGGGGACAGGGUGACGUCGUGAGCAGAGUAGAGAGCAAAGAGCUCCUCCCUCCUGCCCUCGGCAGCGCGCUGCAUGCGGCCCACAGUUUGGUUCAGGAUGGGGUGGGCACCCAGGAGCGCGUACCCAAGGGGAAGCUGACGUUGUGGCAGAAGUGGCAGAGCAUGGAAUCUAUGGGGUUGGCAGCGCGGAGCUGCUUGGUGGGGAUGUCCACGAUCCUGGCCAUCUCCCCGUAGGUCUUCUCCAGCUGGCUGUUCUUCAGACGUAAGAGGUACUGCCGCCGCUGCUCCUUUUCCAGGAGCACAUCAUUCCUCAGUGUGCCCAGAAACUCACAGAAAUCAGUCAGGCAAGGAGAACAAGUCACUUGCUGGCUGCCUAGUCCCCUCGCUGUGGGACCCCAUCCUCCCCGCUCUGCCAGCUGAAGGCUCUCUGCUCACCUUCUGGGUACAUUCUGCCCAAUCCUGCUGGGGCUUUACCUGCUCAUCAGCAAGGAUACUCUCUUGGUAGGGAUAUGGAAUGACCUCCCAGAUAGAAUAUUUGAAAAAAGAAAAAUAAACUGCAGAACAAUAUGUUUAUUAUGCUUUUAAAUAAAAAUGAGGGAAAAAUAUGAAUGUGUAUUGGCAGCCACCUGUGUUUUGUAUAAAGAAACUUUGGAAGGAUGCACAAUGGUUACCUGGGGAUGAUGGGGGCACAGAAAUGGGGGGGAUGGACCAUGAAUUUUAAAUUUUAAGUUUACCUUUUAGUUGUUAUAGUUUUGAACUAUGCACCACAGUAUAGUAUUUUUUUUCCCCGGCAUGCCCGUGGCAUGCAGAAGUUCCCGGGCCAGGGAUCCAACUCAAGCCACAGCAUCGACCCAAGCCACAGAGGUGACAAUGCCAAGUUCUUUAACCACUAGGCCACCAGGGAACUCCCACAGUAUAAUAUCUUGAAAAAAAAAGCAAACUGAAAAAGCCUUCUUUUCAUGUAGGAGAGGGCAAUUCAAGAUAAAAGCAAGUAUAUCCUCUAGCCAACAGGAUGUUGGGAUGCCAUUUCAGUGAGAUAUCUGCAUUCUCUGAGAGUGUAAAUCAUAGGUAGGCCCUGUAACAGUAAUGCCACUAUUCAGAUGCCCAAAUGGUUUGAAAAGCCCCACUACAAAGAUGAGACAAUUUCAGGCUGAAAUGAGUAAAACAGAGGGACUGGUGUUGGCCCAGGAAGAGAAAUAGCUCAGCUAAAAAAUGUGAAGGAUGUCUAGGUCCUCCUCUGAAUGAGGAGUAUUGAGAGUGGAUUCCCUCAGAGAUCUGGGCUGAGGCAGGUCUCAGCAUUUCUAAAUGACCUGCAAAGAGGGCCAACCAUGAGUGACAAACAUCCAGAGUCAGUGUCUGGUCCCCAUUCCUCUCUUGGCCUCCCCUGUAUUCUGAGGCUACAUUUCUUAAGGUUGGCAUGCUCACUGUGUGCCAGACUGUUUUCCUUUAAUCCUAAAAAAAACCCAGCAAAGAAUGCAUAUUAUUUUAUCCCCCUUUCCCUUACUUUAUAGAUGAGAAAACUGAGGCCCAAGCCAUUCACAGUUAAGAAGUGGCCAAGCUAGCACUCCAGCCCCUGUCUGGCCCCAACCUAUGCUCUUAGCCCUGCUCACACCUACAGGGUCCUACAGAAAUACUGAGGUCUACCCACUCAGGGCUUCUCCUCUCCAAACACAGCCUGGAUCUUCAUGACUCUGUUCACGCCCCUCCCUUUCUCUGCCCAGUGAAAUCCUCACGCAACAACCAGCUCCAGCACUACCCUCUCUUUCCUCCUUCUCGCCCACAUCGAAUUAAUCAUUCCUUUCUGUUCACAUAGGCUGCUGGACCUCUAAGGCACUGGCUUCAUCGUUGAGCCUAGUCUAUGCUAGCUCUGUGCAAGGUGCUCUCACACGACUCACCACUAGCUCCGGGGAGACGUCAUGAGCCCCAUUUCACAGGUCUGUCUAUGCCAAAGCCUAUGUUUAUUUUGAAAGAGCUUACAGCUUGCAGCAGUACCCUCAGGGGUCUCCAUGCGCUGUCCCACUGCAGCUGCAGGCUUCCCUAGGACAGGCAGGGGAGCGCCUCAGUCAUCCAACCACCCUCCUCACCUACACACAGUAGCUGCCAAAGCAUCGGGGGCAGAGUAGGCACUAAUGAUCAAUCGCAUCUUAAACAGUUCCUGUGGGGUGCCCAAAGUGUGCCAGUUAUAUGUGUGAUUAUUCUAAUGGUGAUGCAGAAGUUCAUAUAGAAGACAAAAAAGUGACCAUUAAACAAAAAAAGUGACCAUUACCCAUUCAGAAUGGAUAAACAACAAGGUCCUAGUGUAUAGCACAGGGAUAGACCAUGAUGGAAAAGAAUA